UACGGGGGGAGCAAGCGUUGUUCGGAUUUACUGGGCGUAAAGGGCGCGUAGGCGGUCGUGACAAGUCACUUGUGAAAUCUCCGGGCUUAACCCGGAGCGGCCAAGUGAUACUGUUGUGCUAGAGUGCGGAAGGGGCUACUGGAAUUCUCGGUGUAGCGGUGAAAUGCGUAGAUAUCGGAAGGAACAUCAGUGGCGAAAGCGGCUUCCUGGUCCAGCACCGACGUUCAGGCACGAAAGCGUGGGGAGCAAACAGG
rnacentral:rRNA from 1 species